GACGAACGCUGGCGGCGUGCUUAACACAUGCAAGUCGAACGGUAAGGCCCUUCGGGGUACACGAGUGGCGAACGGGAGAGUAACACGUGGGUGAUCUGCCCUGCACUUCGGGAUAAGCCUGGGAAACUGGGUCUAAUACCGGAUAGGACCCUGGGAUGCAUGUCCUGGGGUGGAAAGCUUUUGCGGUGUGGGAUGGGCCCGCGGCCUAUCAGCUUGUUGGUGGGGUGAUGGCCUACCAAGGCGACGACGGGUAGCCGGCCUGGGAGGGUGACCGGCCACACUGGGACUGAGAUACGGCCCAGACUCCUACGGGAGGCAGCAGUGGGGAAUAUUGUACAAUGGGCGCAAGCCUGAUGCAGCGACGCCGCGUGAGGGAUGACGGCCUUCGGGUUGUAAACCUCUUUCAGCACCGACGAAGCGCAAGUGACGGUAGGUGCAGAAGAAGGACCGGCCAACUACGUGCCAGCCGCCGCCGUAA
rnacentral:rRNA from 1 species